AAAGGAAUUGACGGGGACCCGCACAAGCGGUGGAGCAUGUGGUUUAAUUCGAAGCAACGCGAAGAACCUUACCAAAUCUUGACAUCCUUUGAAAACUCUAGAGAUAGAGCCUUCCCCUUCGGGGGACAAAGUGACAGGUGGUGCAUGGUUGUCGUCAGCUCGUGUCGUGAGAUGUUGGGUUAAGUCCCGCAACGAGCGCAACCCUUAAACUUAGUUGCCAGCAUUUAGUUGGGCACUCUAGGUUGACUGCCGGUGACAAACCGGAGGAAGGUGGGGAUGACGUCAAAUCAUCAUGCCCCUUAUGAUUUGGGCUACACACGUGCUACAAUGGACAAUACAAAGGGCAGCUAAACCGCGAGGUCAUGCAAAUCCCAUAAAGUUGUUCUCAGUUCGGAUUGUAGUCUGCAACUCGACUACAUGAAGCUGGAAUCGCUAGUAAUCGUAGAUCAGCAUGCUACGGUGAAUACGUUCCCGGGUCUUGUACACACCGCCCGU
rnacentral:rRNA from 1 species